AGUCAAAAGUGUUGCGUUCAGCUCUGGGCCUCUCCCCAGUCCUGGUAAUUAUUAAUUGGCAUAGUGGCUCUGAGUAGGAAGUAGACAUGCCCAGCCACUUGAUUCCACUCUAGCCAA
rnacentral:snoRNA from 1 species